rnacentral:rRNA from 1 species
AGCGAACGCUGGCGGCAGGCUUAACACAUGCAAGUCGAACGGGCACUUCGGUGCUAGUGGCAGACGGGUGAGUAACGCGUGGGAACGUGCCUUUCGGUUCGGAAUAAUCCAGGGAAACUUGGACUAAUACCGGAUACGCCCUUCGGGGGAAAGAUUUAUCGCCGAAAGAUCGGCCCGCGUCUGAUUAGCUAGUUGGUGAGGUAAAGGCUCACCAAGGCGACGAUCAGUAGCUGGUCUGAGAGGAUGAUCAGCCACACUGGGACUGAGACACGGCCCAGACUCCUACGGGAGGCAGCAGUGGGGAAUAUUGGACAAUGGGCGAAAGCCUGAUCCAGCCAUGCCGCGUGAGUGAUGAAGGCCUUAGGGUUGUAAAGCUCUUUUGUCCGGGAAGAUAAUGACUGUACCGGAAGAAUAAGCCCCGGCUAACUUCGUGCCAGCAGCCGCGGUAAAAC